rfam:Camelus ferus unplaced genomic scaffold scaffold426, whole genome shotgun sequence.
GGAGGUAUGGCUCAGUGGUGGAGUGCAUGCCUAGUAUGCACAGGGUCCUGAGUUCAAUCCCCAGUACCUCCA